AAGGUAGCGAAAUUCCUUGUCGGGUAAGUUCCGACCUGCACGAAUGGCGUAACGAUGGCCACACUGUCUCCUCCCGAGACUCAGCGAAGUUGAAGUGUUUGUGAUGAUGCAAUCUCCCCGCGGCUAGACGGAAAGACCCCAUGAACCUUUACUGUAGCUUUGCAUUGGACUUUGAACCGGUCUGUGUAGGAUAGGUGGGAGGCUUUGAAGCGUGAACGCCAGUUUGCGUGGAGCCAUCCUUGAAAUACCACCCUGAUCUGUUUGAGGUUCUAACCCUGGUCCGUGAAUCCGGACCGGGGACAGUGCAUGGUAGGCAGUUUGACUGGGGCGGUCUCCUCCCAAAGUGUAACGGAGGAGUACGAAGGUACGCUAGGUA
rnacentral:rRNA from 1 species